rnacentral:rRNA from 1 species
GAUGAACGCUGGCGGCGUGCCUAAUACAUGCAAGUCGAGCGAAUGGAUUAAGAGCUUGCUCUUAUGAAGUUAGCGGCGGACGGGUGAGUAACACGUGGGUAACCUGCCCAUAAGACUGGGAUAACUCCGGGAAACCGGGGCUAAUACCGGAUAACAUUUUGAACCGCAUGGUUCGAAAUUGAAAGGCGGCUUCGGCUGUCACUUAUGGAUGGACCCGCGUCGCAUUAGCUAGUUGGUGAGGUAACGGCUCACCAAGGCAACGAUGUGUAGCCGACCUGGGAGGGUGAUCGGCCACACUGGGACUGGGACACGGCCCAGACUCCUACGGGAGGCAGCAGUAGGGAAUCUUCCGCAAUGGACGAAAGUCUGACGGAGCAACGCCGCGUGAGUGAUGAAGGCUUUCGGGUCGUAAAACUCUGUUGUUAGGGAAGAACAAGUGCUAGUUGAAUAAGCUGGCACCUUGACGGUACCUAACCAGGAAGCCACGGCUAACUACGUGCCAGCCGCCGCCGUAA